UACGAAGGGAGCUAGCGUUGUUCGGAAUCACUGGGCGUAAAGCGCACGUAGGCGGAGUUGCCAGUCAGGGGUGAAAUCCCGGGGCUCAACCUCGGAACUGCCUUUGAUACAGCAAGUCUUGAGUUCGAGAGAGGUGGGUGGAAUUCCUAGUGUAGAGGUGAAAUUCGUAGAUAUUAGGAAGAACACCGGUGGCGAAGGCGGCCCACUGGCUCGACACUGACGCUGAGGUGCGAAAGCGUGGGGAGCAAACAGG
rnacentral:rRNA from 1 species